rnacentral:rRNA from 1 species
GACGAACGCUGGCGGCGUGCUUAACACAUGCAAGUCGAACGGAGCACUUCGGUGCUUAGUGGCGAACGGGUGAGUAACGCGUGAGGAACCUGCCUUUCAGUGGGGACGAACAGUUGGAACGAACUGCUAAUACCGCAUAAUACUAUUGAGUGGCAUCACUUGAUAGUCAAAGAUUUAUUGCUGAAAGAUGGCCUCGCGUCUGAUUAGCUAGUUGGUGGGGUAACGGCCCACCAAGGCGACGAUCAGUAGCCGGACUGAGAGGUUGACCGGCCACAUUGGGACUGAGAUACGGCCCAG